GUGAUUACUUCAGCAGCACAGACACCGACGUUGGAAUGAUACAGAGAAGGUUAGCAUGGCCCUGCACAAGAGUGACAUACAAAGAUGUGAAAUGGCCUCUAAAUUUUU
rnacentral:snRNA from 1 species